CGUUCUGUAAGCCUGCGAAGGUGUGCUGUGAGGCAUGCUGGAGGUAUCAGAAGUGCGAAUGCUGACAUAAGUAACGAUAAAGCGGGUGAAAAGCCCGCUCGCCGGAAGACCAAGGGUUCCUGUCCAACGUUAAUCGGGGCAGGGUGAGUCGACCCCUAAGGCGAGGCCGAAAGGCGUAGUCGAUGGGAAACAGGUUAAUAUUCCUGUACUUGGUGUUACUGCGAAGGGGGGACGGAGAAGGCUAUGUUGGCCGGGCGACGGUUGUCCCGGUUUAAGCGUGUAGGCUGGUUUUCCAGGCAAAUCCGGAAAAUCAAGGCUGAGGCGUGAUGACGAGGCACUACGGUGCUGAAGCAACAAAUGCCCUGCUUCCAGGAAAAGCCUCUAAGCAUCAGGUAACAUCAAAUCGUACCCCAAACCGACACAGGUGGUCAGGUAGAGAAUACCAAGGCGCUUGAGAGAACUCGGGUGAAGGAACUAGGCAAAAUGGUGCCGUAACUUCGGGAGAAGGCA
rnacentral:rRNA from 1 species